rnacentral:rRNA from 1 species
GAUGAACGCUGGCGGCGUGCCUAAUACAUGCAAGUCGAGCGAACAGACGAGGAGCUUGCUCCUCUGACGUUAGCGGCGGACGGUUGAGUAACACGUGGAUAACCUACCUAUAAGACUGGGAUAACUUCGGGAAACCGGAGCUAAUACCUGAUAAUAUAUUGAACCGCAUGGUUCAAUAGUGAAAGACGGUUUUGCUGUCACUUAUAGAUGGAUCCGCGCCGCAUUAGCUAGUUGGUAAGGUAACGGCUUACCAAGGCGACGAUGCGUAGCCGACCUGAGAGGGUGAUCGGCAACACUGGAACUGAGACACGGUCCAGACUCCUACGGGAGGCAGAAGAAGGGAAUCUUCAGCAAUGGGCGAAAGCCUGACGGAGCAACGCCGCGUGAGUGAUGAAGGUCUUCGGAUCGUAAAACUCUGUUAUUAGGGAAGAACAAAUGUGUAAGUAACUAUGCACGUCUUGACGGUACCUAAUCAGAAAGCCACGGCUAACUACGUG